ensembl:lncRNA
CUUUUAGGUGAUUUGUUAUUCAGCUGGGCUUCCCGGGUGGCUGCCUGCCAAUUCAGGAGAUGUAAGAAAUGCAGAUUCGAUGCCUGGGUUGGGAAGAUCCCUUGGAAGAGGGCAUGGCAACCCACUCCUGUAUUCUUGCCUGGAGAAUCCCACGGACAGAGGAGCCUGGUGGGCUAUGGUUCAUGGGUCACAAAGAGCUGGAUACAACUGAAGCGACUUAACACACACGCACACAUGCAUUAUACAGCUAAGGCCUCAUUUGUACAGAUAAUCGAGGGCUGGCAGAACUUCAGAGAAGUAUCUCUUGAAGGAGAUCAAACACUUCUCAAAAUCCAACUCCCUCUGAAAUGGCAAGUUUUUUCAUUCUCAUGGGAAAGUCAUUGCCUAGAGAAGCAAAUGGACAGAGGUGCUGAGAGAGAGAGCAUUCCUCUGGUCUCAUCCACUCUCUGAUGAGACAGAUGCAAUAAAGCCUGACUAGGCUGGUGAUUGGUCCUGGCC